rnacentral:lncRNA from 10 species
GAGGAAUCACCACACUGUCUUCCACAAUGGUUGAACUAAUUUACUUUCCCACCAACGGUGUAAAAAGGUGAGAAGAACUCUUAAAGGGGUCCAACUGGGCUGAACAAUCUGUAGCCAGAUCACCUAAACCUGCCCCUUGAAUGGUGGUAGGAAAGAGGGAAGAAGUGAACAAGGGGCAGCACAGGGGAACAUGAGCUCAUGCCCCAUUUUUGGAUGCCGUUGGAAAAGAAAGCCAAAUAGCAAGAGGGAGGGGAUGUAAAAUCUUGAUAAAAGAUCUCCAGCUGCAUGGUGCUUUUCAUCAACAAAUGGAUCUGAGGUGCAAUUAGUAAAUGUGAAAGGAUCUCUCAGGACAGCCACAAAAGGGGUUGCUAAGUUUGGAAGCUUCUCUGAGUACCUCGCACAUGGGGAAAAAGAAAUCCUUCCAUUCUCUAAACUAGCUUGAGUUGAUUUAUAUCACAGCAUCUCCAAGAGCAUAGAUCUUCUGCUACACGACAGGGCCAGGGCCAGGACACCACUUUCAGCUCCAGGCAAUUGCACUGAGGACUCAGUGACACAACCGUGUGAAGUGCCUGCUUCCCCUUCGCCUUCUGCCAUGAUUGGAAGCUUCCUGAGGCCUCUACAGAAGCAGAAGCCGCUAUGCUUCCUGUACAGCUUGCAGAACUAUGAGCCAAUUAAACCUCU